UGGUUUGCAUUCUUUUUCUAUUGGGAAGUGCUGGUCUAAGUCCUUUAAGACCAGGAAGAGUGGAGGGAGUUGGAAGACCUGGUGAGCAUCAAAUCUGAGAAACCGAUGGGGCCAGGGACCUGAAGACAUGCCACUUACCUUCUGGGGGUAGAUAUCCUUUGUUAACUUGCCCUGAAGACAACAGAGCAUCUGGUAUUAAGUUGUUGCUAAACAUCAAACUUGUUGUGAAGAAAGGUGAUCAAUACACGGUGGGGACGCCACUGGGAAAACCUGCCCUCCUCCUACCCCAUUGGGACUAAUUGGACCUACGCUUGACCAGUGGAGAGAGAAAUCCAGUCUAAGUUGGUCACUUGCCAAAACGAAACUGACUCUGAGAAAAAGAAAAAAAAAGAAAAGAAAAAGAAAAUUCCUCAGCAUUUCGAAUACAUUGAUACAUAGGUGGCAUCUGUGCAGCGCCUGUCAUUCAUCGAGCAGUUUGUUUUCUGCUUAUGGAAUCACAAAAAUAUUUAAUCUACUGCUUCAGUGGUGUCACCAUCACUCAGACUCUAGAACAUGAGAUCCUUCCUUCUCUGGGUGGAAGAAUAAAAUUCUUUAAGGUGACCA
rnacentral:lncRNA from 12 species